CUGAACAAGGGAUCAGAAAAGAC
rnacentral:piRNA from 1 species